CCACACCAUUGGAUGCAUGUUUUNUUACAUUGCAUGUUAUCCUUUACUAUCCUGNGAAAUUGUUAUUUGNUUUUGNUGGUAUUGUAAGAUUUUUUAAAGUUUAAUUACCGUUCUAUUUUACAAUACUAUUUUUUUNANCCAAGUUUAAAAACUAAUCUUAAUAGAGGCAACUUUUUGUUGCCUUUUAAAUUUAAUGAGAAUACAACUUUCAGCAGUGGAUGUCUUGGCUUACACAUCGAUGAAGAACGCUGCGAACUGCGAUACGUAAUGCGAAUUGCAGGAUUCAGUGAGUCAUCAAAAUUUUGAACGCAUAUUGCGCUUUCGGGAAUACCUGGAAGUAUGCCUGUAUCAGUGUCUGUAAAACAAAACUUGUAUGUUUUAUAUGUAUAAUAUAUGUGUACAGAAUGUUGUGAUUUGGUUUAACUUUUUUUAAAAAGAAUAAGCUGUGUUAUUAAAUUAGAUUGGACUUUUGAAUACUAAAAUGAAAUACCUUCAUACUCAAUCAUUUGCCAACGUAGCAGUACAAUUUCUUGAAGUUAUACUAAUACAAGGCNUUUGACAAACGUUUGAAUYGAAUUCUUUUUACUACUUUUCAAAUAGUUUAUAAAGUGGAAAUUUUUUUNAUAUUGGACCUGAUAUCAGGUAAGAGUACCCACUGGAUUUAAGCAUAUAACUAAGUGGAGGAAAAGAAACUAACAAGGAUUCCCCUAGUAACGGCGAGUGAAGCGGGAAGAGCUCAAUCUUAAAAUCUCUAUAUUAAAUUGUAGUGAAUUGUAGUCUAUUGAAUUGGUUUUGCAAUGAACAUAUGGAAAAGUCCCUUGGAAGAGGGCAGCAUAGAGGGUGAUACUCCCGUCUUUGCCGUAUGAUUUAUUGUAUUAAUUCCUCUUUCAUUGAGUCGAGCUGCUUGGGAAUGCAGCUCAAAGCAGGUGGUAAAUUCCAUCUAAAGCUAAAUAUGUGUGUAAGACCGAUAGCGAAYAAGUACCGUGAGGGAAAGAUGAAAAGAACUUUGAAAAGAGAGUUAAACAGUACCUGAAACUGCUGAAAGGGAAUCGGAUUGUUGCCAGUGUGAUCCAAUACAUAUUUCAAUAGUGAGUAAUCGUUGUUGCCCUGUGUGUUGGUGUGAUGUUAGGGUCAAUUGAUUUUGCAAGAAAUUGGUAAGAGGGAGGUAGGUGAUAUUUUCGGAUAUGACUAUUAUAUUCUUUUGCUAGUGUUGUGAAUGAGAUUGAGGAAACAAUGUGCAAUUUAUUUACUUUUCAUCUUUUYUGACUUAUUUAUUUUACAGCUUGCUGUUAUUUAAGUAAYGUUUUGAGAAACUUGAUAUGUAGACAAUGCCAUUCGGGACCCCGACAAA
rnacentral:rRNA from 1 species